UGGGGAAUUUUGGACAAUGGACGCAAGUCUGAUCCAGCCAUGCCGCGUGCGGGAAGAAGGCCUUCGGGUUGUAAACCGCUUUUGUCAGGGAAGAAACGAGUUUCUCUAAUACAGAGACUUAAUGACGGUACCUGAAGAAUAAGCACCGGCUAACUUCGUGCCAGCAGCCGCGGUAAUACGAAGGGUGCAAGCGUUACUCGGAAUUACUGGGCGUAAAGCGUGCGUAGGUGGUUGUUUAAGUCUGCUGUGAAAGCCCUGGGCUCAACCUGGGAAUUGCAGUGGAUACUGGGCGACUAGAGUGUGGUAGAGGACAGUGGAAUUUCCGGUGUAGCAGUGAAAUGCGUAGAGAUCGGAAGGAACACCGAUGGCGAAGGCAAUCCCCUGGACCUGUACUGACGCUCAUGCACGAAAGCGUGGGGAGCAAACA
rnacentral:rRNA from 1 species